GGGAGGAAAAGGUGGUUUGGCAAGUGUCUUAAUUCUAUGCUCUGUUUCGCGGCUUAAUACCUCAAUUCCCUAAAUUGUCCGCGUUCAAAUCAAACAGUGAUCUUAGUAAUUCUGUGUUUGCUAAAGCUCAGAUUUCCAGCCACGUCAAUUUAAAAAAAAAUCAAAUAAGGCUUUGUUUUCAAUCAAGUUACUAAAUUGAUGAAUUUUCAGCUCUAUACUCUCAGAGCUUAAGUAGCUGAUAGCCAUCCUUGGGGUUUUAAAAUAAAAGACUCUUUGUCUUUUUCUCUUCCCCAAAUCUUAUUUUCUUCAUUUGCAAACGUCACCUUUUAAAACCAAGGAAACAAAGGAAACAAUGGUGCUUUGGUGCCUCACUACCUUGCAAAGCUAUUUAGUCUUCAAGUUGGAGGGUCAAUUAAUUUUAGGAAAGGAGUCCCCACAGCACUUUCCUUAUAGAUGAGUGUUUCACGGCAGUCAGAGUAGGUCUUCCCAGUUGGAAGCCCAGCAUAAAGAAGAAUCCUUCUCCGAAGCUCUGGAAGGCUAGAGCGGGGCCUCCUGACCUGCUCUUCCUUCAGCAUCCUCUCCCACACUCCUGCCUUCUUCUCAGAAGCAGCAUGCAGAGAAGGGCCACAGAAUGCGUUUUCCCGGUGCCUGGUGGGACCUUAAUUCCUUCCUGUCAGCACAUCCCUAGGCCACUCUGAGAGUUCGGAUAAGCACUGGAUAAGCAGUUGAACUUCUGGGUACUUUUCCAAAUGAAAUUCAACCUCUAGACCUUUGGGGGUUUACAGAGUCUUCCUCACAAUGUGAAGAUGAGCUUGGAAUGAAUUUUUCCUUAAUGGAUUCUAUUUGUGGGUAGGAGAGGGCAAUGACUGCACUGCUCAAAGUUGGGAGUGUAGCUUCAAAUAAGGGAAAAGAACCCAGCAGGAAUGUGAGAAGAGGUGUGAUCCCCAGGGAAGGUGUGUCUGAGGGGGUGUGGGGAGAUUCUGAUCGCCUGUUGAGUGGAGAUAUGGUAUGGGAGGUCACCUCCUGACAGGAGAGUUGUGUUUGAGUGCUGAUUUAAAAAAAUAACGUAGCUGAUGGAGAAAUGGGAAAGGCGUUGCUUUGCAAUGUGAUGAAGAGACUACGUAAUAUUCAGGAUGAUUAACUGAGUACUGAUUAGCUGGGAGAAAGGCCAUAAAACAUUAAAAGUAAAAUCUGUAGGAAUGGAACCCAGAGUAAGUGGGACUAUGCCUCUUGCUAAUUAGCUGCAAGGAAUUUUCUUUUGGGAAAAUCCCAUCAAAUUUUGGGACUUGUGAUUCUGACUCUAGGACUGUAAAUAUAAUAAGAAUUGAAAGAAAGGUAUUGUAACAUACUAAGAUAUCUUUUAUUUUUUUAAUUUUUAACUUUUUUUGUCUUUAUUUUUGCCAUUUCUUGGGCCGCUCCCGCAGCAUAUGGAGGUUCCCAGGCUAGGGGUCGAAUCGGAGCUAUAGCUGCCAGCCUACACCAGAGCCACAGCAACGCAGGAUCCGAGCCGCAUCUGCGACCGACACCACAGCUCACGGCAAUGCUGGAUCGUCAACCCACUGAGCAAGGGCAGGGAUCGAACCUGCAACCGCAUGGUUCCUAGUCGGAUUCGUUAACCACUGCGCCACGACGGGAACUCCCUAAGAUAUCUUUUAAAAUGAUCAUUUUCAGCACACUGUUUUCCAUUAACACAAAUCUUAACAUGUCUGUCUGUCCAGGUGACUGUUUUUAUACUGGGGUUAGAACAAGGGUGAAGCCACUGUGAACCCAAGGCUUGGCCCUAUUUCGCACCGCAUGUUUUGUUUGGUAAAUGAUUAAGCCCUAGAUAUGUGUGUGCAAACAGGCUGUUGCUCCUUAUUUUUGUUUUGGUCAUGUUGUAAAUAACGGAGAGAAUACAUUAACAUUUGGCAAUAGAACUCCUUUGGUCUAAGUCUUUUUGCAAAUGAUUCUGUUUUCCAUAAUGGAAAAAUAUUAUCACCCAGAAGUCCUUCCACAAUGAGCCAUUAUACAGGAACAUGCCUUAUGCAGUCAGUGGAGGUACCAAGACUGGAAGCUUCAGUCUCAUCCUCAGGCAGGUUAUGGUCUAGUGGGGAUUAUAAGACAGGUAAAUGGAUAAACAGUGGGACUUGAAUCUAGGCUGGCACAGAGGGUGGACUGUCCCUAGGGGUGGGAUAAAGGAUUUAGACAGUGGGGUAGAUUUUAUUUGUUUAAAGCUAUUAGUCUUGUUUCUUCCCUGUAAGAGGAUUAUACACUCCUUCUGAUAGUGGUGUAAUGUCUACUUUCAGGAGAAGUGUAAUUUCUUGGUCCCUUGAUGCUGGUCUUGCUUACAUGUCUUGCUUUGGCCAAGGAAAUAUGAGUGAAUGCUGACAUAUGUGCCAUGGCUGGGACUGCAUUGUUCCCUCUGUCCUUGUCCAUGUCUGGGAGCACAGUUUGUCUAGGACCUCAAAGAGUGGUGACUUCUUGGGUGUGGUUUUCAGAAUGAAGUGACACAUAGUUGAAUCCUGGAGCAGGGCUGGUGAAGCUCAUGAAAAACCUAUAUGGCAUGUCAAUGGAAAAUAAAUAUUUGCUGUUGUAAUCCAUUGAGUGUUUGGGGACUGUUUGUUACUGCAGCACAGCUGACCAGUAUAGGGAGGGAACUCAAUGAGAGCAAACAUGUGGGGACAGAAAUCUCCACGAGUGAGAGGCAGGGGAAAAAAAAAAAUCUAAUUUGGUCUGGUCUAGGGAUCUGUGUGGAGCAAAAUUUAAAAAAAGAGGAGGGCCAUAUUAUGGAAGCCUUGAAUAACAGGUUAAGAACAUUGGCCUUAUUCCACAGGCUAUGGAAAAGAUUUUGAGUUCAGGGGCGGAAGAAAGGGAGAAUUUUAGGAAUAUUUGUCCUGUUAAGAUGAAGUAGAAAGUGGGAAAAAAAUCAAUUAGAAGCAGCACAUUCCUCUUUUUUCCUUUUCUUCUUCUUCUUCUUCUUUUUUUUUUUUUCCGGAUGCACCCACAGCAUGUGGAAGUUCCCAGGUCAGGGAUCAAACCUGAGCCAGAGCAGUGACAAUGCUGGAUCCUUAACCUGCUGCACCACAAGCAAAGUCCGAAGCAGCACAUUCUUAAGCAUGGGCUUUAAAACUGUUUCAAAGCAAAAAAAAUGAUUUUAAUUGGAAGAGGGUGGAGUUCAUAUUUCCACACGUGGAAAUGCAGAGAGAAAAAUCCAAUGGGCAAAACAACUCUAAGGUAAAAACUAAUGUGACGGAGAUGACACAAAUGUUUCUCUCUGCCAGGGAAGCAGAUCCACCUGCCAUGACCAGUGGAUGUCUUUCUUUGUCCCUGUGUCCCUUCCGUUUGUGUGUAUAUUUUGACUUACUGGCAAUCUGUUCCUUUGUCUACAAAUGUGUAACUGUUCAGUGCCUUGUCGAAGGGAUCCUGUGAAAUCAGGGAGUGGAAGGAAAGCAGUUAAGGCACAGAAAACUCAUAGACUUCUUGUGAGUGGUAUGUAAAUCUCUAAAACUUCAGCAUGAGGGACUUUUACCACAUGCAUAACCUGGGAUGGAAGUUGACAGCAAGGGUGGCUCUUGGUUAUUCAACAGAAACAGGAAGUUUACCUGCUUUUUAUUUCCUUGUCUUUGAUCUGCUUUGGGUUGACCCAUGAGUAUCUUUCAUUUCUGAGAAGGACAAUUUUAAAAAAGGGAGUCAGUGAACUAUUAUGCAUUUUCUCAUUUUCCUUGGACAGAUGGGUUUGCUGAGGGCAGAGACAGAGGUGCAAGCAAAGCAGAGCUGAGAAGGCCACUGAGAUCCUACAGUCUUCACCUGGGUCCAGACAUGAAUCUGUUCCAUUUCUAAUUCCUCAACUGGGUUUCCUUAAUCGCACGGAGGUAUUUUUCUUACCCUGAUCACAGCGUUGGCCUCAAAUCUCAUAAAGCCGGGCCCAUUCCUGCUGCUCUGAAAGUCUCCUGUUCUGUGAACCGUGUGCUUUAGUGCACUGGGACUAUCCCUGCACACUGCAUUCCCUUAAAAAGAGAAAAUCCUUUCAAACAGCUCCAGCUAUAGAAAUUCAAUUUACUUUAUUUAGGAGGAAAUGAGAAACUUGCAUUUUAGGUGUGGAGUCUCACAGUUGUUCUGACUGAUAAAAGCCUGCUCUGGGGGAAGGUUGGAACAGCGUGGAAUUGCUGGAACCAAAAUGAUUUUUGUGAGCACAUUUCCAAACUCGUGAUCAUGUUUUGAUAAGAAAACUCUCUUUCUCCGCAAGUUCUCAGGGCCCGUUCGUUGGCCCCUCUCUCUCAGUUCUGGAACCGAUGUCAGGCUGUUCUGGGGUACAGUUCUUGGUGAUAUGUUUUCAAUUUGAGUCAACUUGAUGAGAGAAAAAUUACUAGAACGUGGGAAUGAGCUGUGAGGUGAAGAGGGUUUUCCUAUCAAAGUGGAGGUAUUUUUAAAAGCAUUUAUUAUUUCAAACUAAAACAUUUAUAGAAAGCUAUGAGUGUGAAGUGUAUGGUUACCAGUUGUGGAUUGCUGUAGGAAAAAUUCAAGUUCCCAGGCAAUAUUUACUGAGACUCUGGCUAGCAAGAAGUUCGAUCAUGGGAAUAAUUUAGUCCAGAAGGCAUGUCAGUAUAAAACAAUAGUUUACUAGCAUAGUAGUAAUAGACGAUUAGGAUUCGGAAAUGUUGCCAUGACUGAGACAUAAUUUGGGAUCUUAGAUGGAAAUAUUUCUGUUGCUAACAGAACAGAAUGGAGAUACCCAGGGUCUGAAUUUUACACAUGAUGUGAAUGUCAGAAGUGAGAAAGUCAUUCCUCCCUUUUCCGUAUUUUAUGGGCUCUGAUGUAAUAUGCUUAUUUUAUUUUCUGUGUUGAAAAUGGUGAAUAUCGUUUUUGGCACAUUUGUUCCAUAGGAAAGAGGUACUUAGCUGAAAAGUGAGGAAAAGUCUGGCUUUGACCGUGGAUUAAAGGGAUAUUGAGGAGCUAAGUUCUCUUAGGGAAGGUGGGUUUGGUGUGGCAUUCUCUGGAAAUGGGCUUGGAACUUAGGAAAUUCUCUUGCCAUGGGAAUUCUGGAGAUUGGAGGGAAAUGUGUUUAAUCACACUCGGGGGAGAACGUUUCUUUGGGUGAGUUCUUUGUAAGCUCGCAGUGUUUUUAUUUCACUCAAGUAUGUGUCAUGGUGUCAUCCUGCCACAAAGCAUUUGAUGUGUUGCCGAAUAAAGAGCUGGCUGCAAACAGUAUUUAUGGUAUAUGAUUUUACAUACACAUAAAAUUUUAUGCACGUGUGUCUGAGUGCCUGUGUAUAAAACAAAAGAUGACUUGACGGUUGUUAAUACUUUACUCUGGGUGGUGAGUUUUGGGGUGAUGACUAUUUUCUUUGUACAGUUUUCAGAGGACUCCAUUUUCUUAUCAUUAUGAAACGUGCCCUACAUUUGAAGGAGGACACGUGUCCAGUUUAAAGAAUAGUAAUGAAUACCCAGUGUCUAGCUGAGAAAAGAAUAUUGCUUUUUCUUAGAAGCCAAGCCUUCCUUCUGUCUCUGUGUCCUUCCUGGAGGUAAUUACUUGCUUGAAUUUGGUGCUAAUCACCUCUUUGCUUUUCUGUAUGGUUUAGCCACCUAUGAAAUGUAUCCCGAAGCCAAAAAUGGUUUUAUUUUUGAUUGUUCUGAACUUUAAAUAAAUGAAAUCAUGCU
rnacentral:lncRNA from 1 species